UUUGGUGGGCGGGGCCGUGGCGGGCUCAAAUGGCGGCGGCGCUGGGCACCUAGGCCGGCGGGGGCCAUGAGCGCCGCCCGGCCCCAGUUUAGCAUCGAUGAUGCCUUCGAGCUGACCCUGGAGGACGCGGGGCCUGGGCCCGAGUCCAGCGGGGUCGCCCGCUUCGGGCCGCUGCACUUCGAACGCCGGGCUCGGUUCGAGGUGGCUGAUGAAGACAAGCAGUCCCGGCUACGCUACCAGAACCUGGAAAAUGAUGAGGACGGAGCCCAGGCCUCUCCGGAGCCGGAUGGGGAAGUCAGCACCAGGGAUUCUGGGCACAUGUCUGUCCGCAGCUCGCAGUGGUCCUUCAGCACCAUCAGCAGCAGCACUCAGCGCUCCUACAACGCCUGCUGCAGGUGAGAGCCUCCUCACUUGGGGUUCAGCUUCCAAGUACCUUCUGCUUCUGCCUGCCAGCCAGCCCCAGCUCCCUGCCUGCUUUACCUCCUUGACCUCCGUCUUGCUCUCCUGCCACCCAGCUGGACCCAACAUCCUUUGAUCCAGAAAAACCGCCGGGUAGUGCUGGCCUCCUUCCUGCUUCUGCUGUUGGGGCUAGUGCUUAUCCUGGUCGGCGUGGGACUGGAGGUGGCCCCCUCUCCAGGUGUCUCCAGUGCCAUCUUCUUUGUGCCGGGCAUCCUGCUGUUAGUCCCAGGAGUCUACCAUGUGAUCUUCAUCUACUGUGCUGUCAAGGGCCGCCGGGGCUUCCAAUUCUUCUACCUGCCCUACUUUGAGAAGUGAGCUGCAACUGGCCAGUGGCUCACCAGUGAUCCAAGGCCUCAGGUCACCUCCACGUGUCCACAGGGUAUUCCUCCAACCUACACCUGGUUCUGUUCCUUUCAUCUGGAAGGCAGAGACCCCCUAGGACCCUCACAACCACCAGGCCCCUUUGAAUUUGCUCAGGAAGUUUGGAGCAGGCCAGCCUGAGGAUAUUGCCUCUUACCUGAUGUGUGCCUUAACUUAUUCCUAGGUUCUGGACUCCUGGGUUGGUGUAAUUUUGUGCUAAUAAAAGAGUAAUUACUUCCAACAAGGACAGUUGCACUUUCCUGGGCCAGCAAGCCUGGCCCAGCACACUAAUGACCACAGUUCCCUCCUACAGAGGGACUAUGUGUAAAGGACUCACCUAGAGCUCUAGAGGACCACCAACUUCCCAAGGACAACCUGGAUGGUCUCAGGUGUGCCCAAGGUCACCAUUAUGCCCAGGGCAGAGCUGGAUGAAGUAGUCCCACCCUGUCUGCCUUCAUCCUUGAGGACAUUCAACACUGCCCCCUAGCCAAGGGCACCAAGAGGUGAUGCAGGCACCAGGCCUAGAGGCUGGUACCCUGGUUCCUGCCUGGCUCUGUAGACUAGGCAGUCAUGACUAUCACUAAAUGUGGGUCAUGUGCCCCUCUACCCACCCACUGCCCUAUUUCCUAGACCCAGAGGUUGGGAGAAGCAGGGAGAGGAGGGGGUGGGAUCACGCUUCUCAGCCAAGCAGCACAGUAACAAGGCGAUGCUUAGAGCCACCAACUGUUUGAAACAGUUCAAGUUCUUAGAAAAUUGGGGCCGCUAAUAAUGUCUGAAACUUAAAUAAACAAAAAU
ensembl:processed_transcript